rnacentral:tRNA from 5 species
AGGCGAUUAGCUCAGUUGGUAGAGCGUUCCCUUCACAUGGGAAAGGUCGUAGGUUCGAGUCCUAUAUCGCCUA